rnacentral:rRNA from 1 species
UUUAAAUGUAAAUAAAAAUACUAAAGUAGUAGUAGUUAUGUUCUUUAAAUUUAAAGAUUUUGGCGGUAUUUUAGACUAUUCAGAGGAACCUGUUCUGUAAUUGAUAAUCCACGAUUAAUUAUACUUGAGUUAUUAAUUUGUAUAUCGUCGUUUAUAAACAAUUUUAUAAGAAUAUAAAUUUUUUAAAUUUUUAAUUAAAAAAUAUAUCAGAUCAAGGUGCAGUUUAUGUUUAAGUAGAAAUGGGUUACAAUAAAUUUAUUUAAAUGGAUUAAUAUAUGAAAAAUUAUUAUGAAGGUGGAUUUGAUAGUAAUGAAAUUUAAUUUAAUUUUAUGAUUUUAGCUCUAAAAUAUGU